UACGUAGGGGGCAAGCGUUAUCCGGAAUCACUGGGCGUAAAGGGAGCGUAGGCGGGUUCUUGAGUAAGGUGUUUAAUCCCGGGGCCCAACCCCGGACCGGCACUUUAAACUGGGAAUCUUGAAUAGUGGAGAGGUCAGUGGAAUUGGGGGUGUAGCGGUGGAAUGCGUAGAGAUCCCCAAGAACACCAGUUGCGAAGGCGGCUGACUGGACACAUAUUGACGCUGAGGCUCGAAAGCAUGGGGAGCAAACAGG
rnacentral:rRNA from 1 species